rnacentral:lncRNA from 1 species
AUGUACAUCUUUUCAAGCUGUACAGGGAGUGCACAGUUUCUAACUCAGGACUUUCUAUGCAAACUUCUACAGUUUCACCAUGAUUUAUAUGGGAACGAAAGGAAUUUCCUUUUGAAAAAUAAUAUAGACAUCAUUUGUGUUCUGCAGGUUUAUUCAUACAAUCCUCCGUUUACUGUCUUCUCUUUCAUUUACAGCCAUAUCUUUCUUUCAGUGAGGACUGUGUCUCAGACUGCUGCUUCCUUCCACUGCCUGGCUCACAAGAACACCCAUUUCUGUGCCCAUGUUAUUGCACAGACAAGAAGACUUUAUUCUGUCUGAAGCAGAUGGAGUGAGUGCCCAUAUGCAAGCUUUGGUAGCAGGACAGCUUCAGGGGUUGGCCUCCAUGAGAAGAGAACUCCAUCUCCAACAGAGCCAGUGAUCUCCAAAAUACACCUGCUGCAGGAUAAAGGUGAGCCCAUGGAGAGGAACCCACAAAAGAAGGAAAUGGACCCUGGGAAAAAGAGGGAUAUUAUGGGAAGGCGUUUUUAUUUUUAACCAGCAACAAAUUAAAUCAGUCUUCCCCAAGGUGAGUCUGUUUCACCCAUGGUAGCAAUUGGUAAGCGAUGUCCUUAUCUUUAUCCUAAUACAAAAUAUUGCUGCCAUGAAAUUUAUUGGCCUUAGGAAACAAUGAUAAAACUUUAAAUUGUCAGUUUCAGAUCUUUGCAACAGACUUUUUCUCAACAGGUUUGAAGAAAGAAAAAAAAAUCCCACAUCAUUAAGGCAAUACGAAGUAAUGGUAAAACAGAGUUGCUUAAUUCAAACUGAAGGAAUGCCUCAGUUUCACACACAAAAGCAAGCUGUAAUCAACAUUACCUCCCUCCACUGCAUGUAUUUUCUUUCCUAAGUCUUAAUCCUUUGCUUUCACUAGUGUUUGCUUUUUUCCAGAAUGAAAAGAAAUAUCUUCCUGGCAGCACUGAGUAUGGAGGGGAUAAGGAAAGUAACAAGGAAAAGGCUGCACACAUUUACUAGUGAGUACUGUGAGAACUAAAAAGGUAGUGCCUAAGCUUUUAUCCUACUUGUGCUGACAAAACCUGCUUUGAAUAGUUCAGAACUGGGCACUUGCAGAUCAAAAGAAGCAAAGAUCCAAACAAUUAGCAGCUGCUUAAAGCUGAGUUACAGGCCCAGGUGACAGCUGGAAUUAGCAAUGACAAGUGAAGUAUGUCACGUUAGAUUUGCAACAUCAAAUGUAGCCACCCUGCUUGCAGUAUAUACCGGCACUGGCUGCACACAAUGAAUAGGGGGAAAAAAAAACAAAACGACAGGUGAGUUCAUUAACAAAAAAGCUUUCUCCUGGAGAGAAGAUGCUAUAUUAUUAUUAUUGAUUGAUUUAGUGUCACAGUUCUUUAUGACACGUUAUAGACAUGCAUGGUCCUACCAGAAGGAACCUGUUCCAUUAACAGUACAGAAAUAAAUACAAAUUGAGAGCUGCA